rnacentral:rRNA from 1 species
GGGUGCUAUAAUGCAAGUUGAGCGCUGAAGGUUGGUACUUGUACCGACUGGAUGAGCAGCGAACGGGUGAGUAACGCGUGGGGAAUCUGCCUUUGAGCGGGGGACAACAUUUGGAAACGAAUGCUAAUACCGCAUAAAAACUUUAAACACAAGUUUUAAGUUUGAAAGAUGCAAUUGCAUCACUCAAAGAUGAUCCCGCGUUGUAUUAGCUAGUUGGUGAGGUAAAGGCUCACCAAGGCGAUGAUACAUAGCCGACCUGAGAGGGUGAUCGGCCACAUUGGGACUGAGACACGGCCCAAACUCCUACGGGAGGCAGCAGUAGGGAAUCUUCGGCAAUGGACGAAAGUCUGACCGAGCAACGCCGCGUGAGUGAAGAAGGUUUUCGGAUCGUAAAACUCUGUUGGUAGAGAAGAACGUUGGUGAGAGUGGAAAGCUCAUCAAGUGACGGUAACUACCCAGAAAGGGACGGCUAACUACGUGCCAGCAGCCGCGGUAAUACGUAGGUCCCGAGCGUUGUCCGGAUUUAUUGGGCGUAAAGCGAGCGCAGGUGGUUUAUUAAGUCUGGUGUAAAAGGCAGUGGCUCAACCAUUGUAUGCAUUGGAAACUGGUAGACUUGAGUGCAGGAGAGGAGAGUGGAAUUCCAUGUGUAGCGGUGAAAUGCGUAGAUAUAUGGAGGAACACCGGUGGCGAAAGCGGCUCUCUGGCCUGUAACUGACACUGAGGCUCGAAAGCGUGGGGAGCAAACAGGAUUAGAUACCCUGGUAGUCCACGCCGUAAACGAUGAGUGCUAGAUGUAGGGAGCUAUAAGUUCUCUGUAUCGCAGCUAACGCAAUAAGCACUCCGCCUGGGGAGUACGACCGCAAGGUUGAAACUCAAAGGAAUUGACGGGGGCCCGCACAAGCGGUGGA